rnacentral:rRNA from 1 species
ACCAAGGAGUCUGACAUGUGUCCGAGUCAACGGGCUAGUAAAUUCAUAAGGCGUAAGGAAUCUGAUUGGUGGGAUCCCCCUGAGGGGUGCACCGCCGACCAACCUUGAUCUUCUGAGAAGGGUUCGAGUGUGAGCAUACCUGUUGGGACCCGAAAGAUGCUGAACUAUGCCUGAGUGAGGUGAAGCCAAAGCAUACUCUGGUGGAGGCCCGUAGCGAUACUGAUGUGCAAAUCGUUCAUCUGACUUGGGUAUAGGGGCGAAAGACUAAUCGAACUGUCUAGUAGCUAGUUCCCUUUGAAGUCUCCCUAAGAAUAGCUGGAGCUCGCGUGUGAGUUCUAUUGGGUAAAGACAAUGAUUAGAGGAUUCGUGAGCGCAACAGCCUUGACCUAUUCUCGAACUUUAAAUCAGUAGGACGGCGGGACUGCUUUGUCGAGCUGCACCACAAAAUCAGUAGCUCAAAGUGGACCAUUUUUUGUAAACUGAACUGGCGUUGCGGGAUGAACGGAAAGUCGCCUUAUGGUGCCAAACUGCACUCUAACCAAGAUCCAACAAAGGUUGUUGGUCGAUUAAGACAGCAGGAAGGUGGUCAUCGAAGUCCAAAUCCGCUAAGGAGUGUGUACCAAUUCAGCAGCCGAGUAAACUAACCCCGAAAAUAGAUGGCGCUUAAGCGCGAGACCUACACCCAGCCGUCAGGGCAAGUGCCAGACCCUGAUGAGUUGGAGGGAAUAGCGGUCACGGCAAAACCUUGGGCAUGAGCCUGGGCGGAGCAGCCGUUAAUGCAGAUCUUUGUGGUAGUAGCAAAUUUUCAAAUGAGAACUUUGAAGGGUGAAGAGGGGAAAUGUUCAAUGUGAAUGGCACUAGCACAUGGGUUAGUCGAUCCUAUGGGUCGAGGGAACCCCGACAGAUAAUGCAUUUCGCGCGUACCCCGAAAGGGAACCGAGUUAAGAAUCCUGAAUUGGGACGUGGCAGUUGACGACAACGUUUGGAAGUCGGGAGACGUCGGUGGGAGCCUCGGGAAGAGUUGUCUUUUGCCGUUUCACAUCAUGCCCACCAUGGAAUCGGCUCUGCCGGAGGUUGGGUCCAACGGCUGGAAGAGCACCACACGUCACGUGGUGUCCGGUGCGCUCUCGGCGAUCCUUCAAAAUCCAGAGGACAGAAUGUUGUCCACGCUCAGUCAUACUCAUAACCGCAUCAGGUCUGCAAGGUGAACAACCUCUAGUU